rnacentral:rRNA from 1 species
AGACGAGCUCUCCAAACGUUAUUCGGUAUCACUGGGCUUAAAGAGUUCGUAGGCGGCUCCGUAGGUGAGGUGUGAAAUCCCUCGGCUCAACCGAGGAAUUGCGCUUCAAACCGUGGAGCUAGAGGUAGACAGGGGUAAGCGGAACAGAUGGUGGAGCGGUGAAAUGCGUUGAUAUCAUCUGGAACACCGGUGGCGAAAGCGGCUUACUGGGUCUUUUCUGACGCUGAGGAACGAAAGCUAGGGUAGCGAACGGGAUUAGAUACCCCGGUAGUCCUAGCCGUAAACGAUGAGCACUAGUCUGUGGGGACUCUCACAUCCUCUCGGACGUAGCGAAAGUGUUAAGUGCUCCGCCUGGGGAGUAUGGUCGCAAGGCUGAA